ensembl:snoRNA small nucleolar RNA SNORD41
CUGGAUGUGAUGCAUAAUGACAUCUGACUGAAAGUGAAGGUGUUUGUAUUCAUACUGUCUGAUCCAG